UUAACUAAAGCCAAAUAGAGGCAAUUUAUUGUUAAUAAAAAAACUGAAUCAAGUUCUAGUUAAA
rnacentral:tRNA from 1 species